rnacentral:lncRNA from 1 species
AAGACAUCACAGAAGUUCCUAUUGUCCUCCUCCUUCAACAUUUGAAAACCUUCACCUGGCAGUAGAUCAAUCAUGAGUGAGAAACAAUACAACAGGCAAACAAUACAGAAACAAUACGGUUGAUUAUUCAAAGAAAUUAAACUAAGUGCAGGUCACCCAAAGCUGAAUUUCUUGCAAUCCAAACAACACAAACAGUAGGAAGAUGGUUGCAUAGAUACAAAUCCAUGUGGUAGCAGCAAAAUUGGCCAAUCUGGAUCGCAUCUUCUCUGUUUGGUACUAACUAAAAAAACUGGACUUGUUCAUACAAAUCCCUCUUGAAUUCCUUACACAGCCAGGAUUUGCAUCAAAUAUUCCUUAAUUUAGCGGCAUUUGUAAGCAGAGAAAGAGAGGAAGGGAGAUGCGGAUGCUACGUACCUUGUCCUGAAGUUCCAACGACCAGACCAGAGAGAAGUUGCUCCUCGUCUUCUUUCCUCAGCCCCAAAUUUGCCUGCAAUAACCACAAUUCAUUGCAUCAACCAGCGAUCUGAUCUCACAAGCGAUCUGAUCUCACAAGCCCCACCCAGGUGGUGGACUGGUGGUAGUACAGCAGCUAGAAGGCUCAUCACUCACCGGUUGAAAAGCUCGACCCGGUACUCCAUCUCCUUCUCCGCCAUCCCGAACAUCUGCAUCGCACAACCACCACCAUCAAUUGACCUCAAUCACAAGC